UUAGCGGUUAGGGUUAGGGUUAGGUUUUAGGGUUAAGGUUAAGGUUAGGGUUAGGUUUUAGGGUCAAGGUUAGGGUUAGGUUUUAGGGUUAAGGUUAGGGUUAGGUUUUAGGGUCAAGGUUAGGGUUAGGUUUUAGGGUUAAGGUUAAGGUUAGGGUUAGGUUUUAGGGUUAAGGUUAAGGUUAGGGUUAGGUUUUAGGGUUAGGGUUAAGGUUAGGGUUAGGUUUUAGGGUUAGGGUUAAGGUUAGGGUUAGGUUUUAGGGUUAGGGUUAGGUUUUAGGGUUAAGGUUAGGUUUUAGGGUUAAGGUUAAGGUUAGGGUUAGGUAUUAGGGUUGGGGUUAGGUUUUAGGGUUAGGGUUAGGUUUUAGGGUUAAGGUUAGGGUUAGGUUUUAGGGUUAGGGUUAAGGUUAGGGUUAGGUUUUAGGGUUAAGGUUAAGGUUAGGGUUAGGUUUUAGGGUUAGGGUUAGGUUUUAGGGUUAAGGUUAGGUUUUAGGGUUAGGUUUUAGGGUUAGGGUUAGGUUUUAGGUUUUAGGGUUAAGGUUAGGUUUUAGGGUUAAGGUUAAGGUUAGGGUUAGGUUUUAGGGUUAGGGUUAGGUUUUAGGUUUUAGGGUUAAGGUUAGGUUUUAGGGUUAAGGUUAGGUUUUUAAGGUUAAGGUUAGGGUA
ensembl:lncRNA